rnacentral:rRNA from 1 species
GUCGAACGCUGGCGGCGUGCUUAACACAUGCAAGUCGAACGGUGAAGCCCUUCGGGGUGGAUCAGUGGCGAACGGGUGAGUAACACGUGAGCAACCUGCCCCUGGCUCUGGGACAACCACUGGAAACGGUGGCUAAUACCGGAUACGACCCGCCUCGGCAUCGAGUGUGGGUGGAAAGUUUUUCGGCUGGGGAUGGGCUCGCGGCCUAUCAGCUUGUUGGUGAGGUGAAGGCUCACCAAGGCGACGACGGGUAGCCGGCCUGAGAGGGCGACCGGCCACACUGGGACUGAGACACGGCCCAGACUCCUACGGGAGGCAGCAGUGGGGAAUAUUGCACAAUGGGCGAAAGCCUGAUGCAGCGACGCCGCGUGAGGGAUGACGGCCUUCGGGUUGUAAACCUCUUUCAGCUCCGAAGAAGCGAAAGUGACGGUAGGAGCAGAAGAAGCACCGGCUAACUACGUG